GCGUGUUAGCUGGAUAGGGAAACAUUCAACAGUUCAGGAAAUGAGCUGUCCCCUCAGUGCAAACCAGCAGCCCAAUUCUUGGUGGCAUUUUUCCGUUUUGUUAUUUUAUUCCCCGUCUCGACUGUUGGAAGAGCAGGGAGGAGGCGACACCCUUCAUUCCUAAUUUUCCAGGGACCCACACCGACUGCGAUUCCCAUGCGGAAUUCCGCAACUGAAAACCCGGAAAUUCACCGGGACUCCAACCUCGCCUAGAAGAGAGUUUAACUGUAGCUGCCGGAAUUGAAUUUCUACGAGUUAGUCUCUGAAUAUGUCCAGACCCGGACAGCAUCGGAAUAGCUCCUCGGUUUUCCCUUUUGUUUUGAAGAAAAUCGUGUUUGCAGUCAAACGAUGAAAGUGAUAAACGUGGGAGACCCAAUUAGAACUUGUUUGUAGCAACAAACUGUGCAGUGCCGAAUAGAAUACUGUUAUUUGUAUUGACGCUGUUUUUGUCUGCAUUAGUUAUAUAUAUAUAAUGUUUAUUUUUAUUUCGUAGCUUUAAUCAAAGAGGCACUGAACUUAUGAUAGGAAGAAUUUUUUUUAACAACUUCUUCCAAUGUAAAUCCAACAAAUCCCUCGUCGUCAUCACCUCGGUAGUGAGUUUCUGCUGAUUGGACAGGCAUUUCUACACUCAUUGCGGCAGGAUGUGCCCUGAGAUAGUGGGAUCUAGAUCUCAGGAUUUGCUUCCUUUUCUUUCCACCUGUUUGCGAGACCUCAUCAUGGAGGUGUUGGACUCAAAGCACCGUGUGGUUUGAUGGACAACUGGUUUCCAUCCGGAACAAAUGGUAGCAAGCUCCUGGCAGUCAUCAAGGUGCUUCGGUGAGAAUUGCUGAGUAGCCAAUUGGGAGAGAACAGGACGUGGUGGUACCAAUGGUUUUCAGCCCCCCAUACACAGCCUCCAGUCCACCCAGGUUGAUUUUGUAGGAGUUUUGUCUGCAUGCUUGCGGACUUCGCUUCAGCAAGGACCCUAGUAAUUGUUUACUUAACGUCAAACUGUGAUUUUAAAGUCAUUGUUUAAUCUCCAUUUCUGAAGCACUUGUUAAUGCUAGCCCCGAACCUCUAACCCUGUGGAAAUUUAAAUAUGGAAAGUGGUUGUGCUAUGUCUAAAUAAAAAUAUCCUUUCGAAA